rnacentral:rRNA from 1 species
UCCGUAGGAGACGAGCGUUGUCCGGAGUUCCUGGGCGUAAAGGGUGCGCAGGUUGCGGCGCGCGUGGGGGGUGAAAUCGCCCGGCUUAACUGGGCGGGGGCCUUCCAGACGGCGUGGCUUGAGCAGCGGAGGGGGACGUGGAAUUCCGGGUGGAGCGGUGAAAUGCGUAGAGAUCCGGAGGAACACCGACGGCGCAGGCAGCGUCCUGGCCGCUUGCUGACACUGAGGCACGAAAGCUGGGGGAGCAAACAGG